CAUCCAGCUGCUGACUGCCUAUCGAGAGACAGUUCAUAGCACAGACAUAAACCUAAAAUUAACCCUCAUCCACAAUGUCAUGGAGAUUAGCCGUGCCAUCUUGGAGACCAGAGACUCCCAGGAGUUCGAAUUCUCGUACAAACUGGAGCUCCUUGGCUACAUGUUGGACUUCAUUAAACAGGAACCACUGGAUUCCCUGGCAUCUCCAGUUCGCUAC